rnacentral:rRNA from 1 species
UACGUAGGGUGCAAGCGUUGUCCGGAAUUAUUGGGCGUAAAGAGCUCGUAGGCGGUUUGUCGCGUCUGCUGUGAAAACUCGGGGCUUAACUCCGGGCCUGCAGUGGGUACGGGCAGACUAGAGUGCGGUAGGGGAGACUGGAAUUCCUGGUGUAGCGGUGAAAUGCGCAGAUAUCAGGAAGAACACCCGUGGCGAAGGCGGCUCUCUGGGACGGUACUGACGCUGAGACGCGAAAGCUAGGGUAGCAAACGGG